GUUUGUGUUGGAGGGUGCUGGUCAGCUGGGCACGGCCAGGAUGCCUGAGGGUCUGGCACUGUGGCAUAGCAGGUAAAGCUGCUACCUGAGGCACCAGCUUCCCAUAAUGGCGCCGGUUCGAGUCCCGGCUGCUCCACUUCUGAUCCAGCUCUCUGCUAAUGGCCUGGGAAAGCAGUGGAAGAUGGCCCAAGUGCUUGGGCCCCUGCACCCACAUGGGAGACCUGGAAGAAGAUCUAGUCUCCUGGCUUCAGCCUGGCCCCGCCCUGGCCAUUGUGGCAAUCUGGCCAUCUUCUGGCAGAUGGAAGAUCCCUCCUGUGUACUCUACCUUUCAAAUAACUCUCUGCCAUGGCCUGGGAAAGCAGCAGAAGAUGGCCCAAGUCCUUGGGCCCCUGCACCCAUGUGGAAGAUCUAGAAGAAGCUCCUGGCUCCUGGCUUCCGAUUGGCCCAGCUCUGACCAUUGUGUCCAUUUGGAGAGUGAACCAGCAGAUGGAAGACCCCCC